CAGCUGGUAAAAAGCAGAGGCAAGGAGGCUAUUGCGAGGAAGUGAAAGAGGAUGUCCAGGAACCAGUCAGGCAUGCCGGGCUGGAGUGGAGAAGGCUGGCUGUGGUCAGCUCCCGGGAAGACUGACUCACCGGGGCCUUGCUUGUGACUCACGCAGCGUCACACUCUGCACUGGGGUGGCACGCAUUUGGUGCAGGGGGCAUUGCUCUAUGCCAGGGACCUGACAGACAGUGGGCAGCGGGUUAGAAGGGUGAGGUGAGCCUGCCGCUGCUGUUCGCUGUCACCGUCCUUGUCCUGGUGAAGAUGGGGGCAGGCAUUCAGGGCCUUGGUCGUCCACCCCUGGAGCUAACUCAUGCAGGUUUAGCUACUGCUCCCCACCCCCGAGACCACCCAUUUCAGAGACGUGGGGUGGUGGAAGCACAUGGGCUUUGGAGGCAGCAGGUCUGGGUUCAGGUUCAGACUCCACUACUUGAUAGCUAGGAAACCUUGGGUGAGUCACUUAAGCUCUCUGACCUGCUUCUCCAGUUGUAAAAUGCAGACACACACCUGCCUCACCCGCCUCAUGCGGUUGAGUCAAGGAUCAAAUGAGGAGAGACGGUGACCAGGAGGCUGUCUCAGGGGUUGUUUGGAUGGAGGUGAGAAGAGCGAUCAGCGUUCUCCAGGCAGCAGCUUGUGGUACGUCAGUUCCCCGACCAGGGAUUGAACCUGGGCCACAGCAGUGAAACCCCGGAAUCCUAACUACUAGGCCACCAGGGAACUCCCGGAUAGUAUUUGUUUCAUAGGGCUGUUUGGAGGAUCAAAUGAGAAAAUAUAUGUGCAAUACUCAGUUCUGCCCCUGGCUUGCAGUGAGCACAUGGUAUGUACAUAGAGUCACACUCCCUACAGGUGUGUCUGCCUCACAAAUCCUGACAGGUGCACAGGUGGAUGAGCACUUAAUCCAACUUCCGGGUGGAAGAGAAAGGAACCUGUAAUACCUCCCGUCUUCCAGGUACCUCUCGUUAAAGGAGAGGCCUUGGGAACUCAGAGGACCUUUUCAGAGAGGCCCAAGGCCCAGGGAGAUCACAGCACAGAGUGCAGAGUCAAGAACUGGCUACCAUCCCCUGAACAGAUUCUUCAGCAUCCUCUAUCCCCUAACCCCACCACCACCCAAAGACACACAAUCCAAGUUUUCUUUCCAGUGCAUUUGGCUUCACGGAGCAUAGGAACAGCUCAAGUUUGAGGGGUGUGAUGAGUGAAGAACAUGCAAGGGACCUCUGAAUUUUUUUUUUCUUAACUUACCUUUAAAAAUGUUUUUUGAGUUAAAAAA